UUUUAUUUUGUGAAUAUGAUGAGUAUCUUGUCUCUUAAAGUUGUGUUCUAAAUAGAAAGAAAAGAAAAGAGACAAGAUGAAAAAAAAAGAAAAAAAAUACAGAAAAAUGUGAAAAAUAAAAGAAAUAAAAGUUUUGUGAAUAAUGGAGUUAAGAAUAGGAUAAAAUUAGAGGGAUUUGGGUGUGAUUUGACUGUGUUUUCACUUAUUCCCCAUUGCUCCUCUAUUUCUUUUGGUUUGUAAC
rnacentral:lncRNA from 1 species